UGAAGAUGCUCAUUAUCAAAUACUUCUGGUGCUAUUAAAGCAUUUCACACUCUACCAGGAGAAUAAAGCUACUGAAAGGCUUUGGGCUAGCAAAUCGGGUUGUUGCUAAGGGAAACGGCUGCAUUUUGAAGCAAUGAUGGGAAUACUUUUGGAAUCAUCCCUCUAUUGUUACCCGCCCAGACCAAUGUAAACUGGAGCUGAAAAGAGAGUCAGCCUAAGAAGGCAAAUGGCAAAGUGGUGAUUCACGUAGUCCUUGCAUGGCCAAGGGGCCAACAGACAGUAAAGCAACCUUCGAAAAAAGCCAUGCACUUCCCUCUGUGCUUAAUCACAUUAACAAAGUGGUCACCUCAAAGACCCAAAUAGUAUCUUUGUUAUUUUUCAGUAUCGCCUUCUUAAUAAAGAGAUAUGAAAAACAGAAAUAACUAUCAAUAAUAUCAAUAGAAUGCUAAAAAUGCUGCAGGUACACAUAUCAGGUUUGAUUGAUCUCUCCUCCCUCAGAUCUUUACUCAACUAUCACCUUGCCAGGGAGCCUUCCCUGGCUGCCUUGUCUAAACCUGCAC